CAUUGUGAACUCGAUGGGUAAUGCGACUGGAUAAUUGGCCGCCGUAUAGGGGUGAAGAAAAAGUCGUAACCGACGCGCUUUGACCUCAUCCAAGACGCUGUUUUUUACAAUACGUGGAAGAAAAUCGUUCCAGACGAUCCAUUGGUAAUGCCACGUCACCAACCUUCUCGCCCGCUCAAACAGGGUGGUUCCGGGCACGUUCUCGCCCAGCGUGGGCUGCUUUUCGA
rnacentral:misc_RNA from 1 species